GACAGAGGGUGCAAACGUUGUUUGGAAUCAUUGGGCGUAAAGCGCGUGUAGGCGGCCCGGUAAGUCCGCUGUGAAAGUCGGGGGCUCAACCCUCGGAUGCCGGUGGAUACUGUCGGGCUAGAGUGCGGAAGAGGCGAGUGGAAUUCCUGGUGUAGCGGUGAAAUGCGCAGAUAUCAGGAGGAACACCAAUUGCGAAGGCAGCUCGCUGGGACGUUACUGACGCUGAGACGCGAAAGCGUGGGGAGCAAACAGG
rnacentral:rRNA from 1 species